rnacentral:rRNA from 1 species
UGGGGAAUAUUGGACAAUGGGCGCAAGCCUGCUCCAGCCAUGCCGCGUGAGUGAUGAAGGCCCUAGGGUUGUAAAGCUCUUUCACCGGUGAAGAUAAUGACGGUAACCGGAGAAGAAGCCCCGGCUAACUUCGUGCCAGCAGCCGCGGUAAUACGAAGGGGGCUAGCGUUGUUCGGAUUUACUGGGCGUAAAGCGCACGUAGGCGGACUUUUAAGUCCGGGGUGAAAUCCCGGGGCUCAACCCCGGAACUGCCUUUGAUACUGGAAGUCUUGAGUAUGGUAGAGGUGAGUGGAAUUCCGAGUGUAGAGGUGAAAUGCGUAGAUAUUAGGAGGAACACCAGUGGCGAAGGCGGCUCACUGGACCAUUACUGACGCUGAGGAGCGAAAGCGUGGGGAGCAAACAGG